rnacentral:rRNA from 1 species
GGAGGCAGCAGUGGGGAAUCUUGCACAAUGGAGGAAACUCUGAUGAAGCGAUGCCGCGUGAGUGAAGAAGGCCCUUGGGUUGUAAAGCUCUUUCGUCGGGGAAGAAA